UACGUAGGGGGCUAGCGUUGUCCGGAUUUAUUGGGCGUAAAGAGCGUGUAGGCGGCCAUGUAGGUCCGGUGUGAAAACUCGAGGCUUAACCUCGAGAUGUCAUCGGAAACCAUUUGGCUAGAGUCCGGAAGAGGAGAGUGGAAUUCCUGGUGUAGCGGUGAAAUGCGCAGAUAUCAGGAAGAACACCAAUGGCGAAAGCAGCUCUCUGGGACGGUACUGACGCUGAGACGCGAAAGCCAGGGGAGCGAACGGG
rnacentral:rRNA from 1 species